rnacentral:rRNA from 1 species
GGAAGGGCACCACCAUGAGUGGAGCCUGCGGCUGAAUUUGACUCAACACGGGGAAACUCACCAGGUCCAGACACAAUAAGGAUUGACAGAUUGAGAGCUCUUUCUUGAUUUUGUGGGUGGUGGUGCAUGGCCGUUCUUAGUUGGUGGAGUGAUUUGUCUGCUUAAUUGCGAUAACGAACGAGACCUUAACCUACUAAAUAGAGGUGCUAGCAUUUGCUGGUUCUUCCACUUCUUAGAGGGACUAUCGAUUUCAAGUCGAUGGAAGUUUGAGGCAAUAACAGGUCUGUGAUGCCCUUAGACGUUCUGGGCCGCACGCGCGCUACACUGACGGAGCCAGCGAGUACAACCUUGGCCGAGAGGUCUGGGUAAUCUUGUGAAACUCCGUCGUGCUGGGGAUAGAGCUUUGUAAUUUUUGCUCUUCAACGAGGAAUUCCUAGUAAGCGCAAGUCAUCAGCUUGCGUUGAUUACGUCCCUGCCCUUUGUACACACCGCCCGUCGCU